rnacentral:rRNA from 1 species
GAUGAACGCUGGCGGCGUGCCUAAUACAUGCAAGUCGAGCGAACAGACGAGGAGCUUGCUCCUCUGACGUUAGCGGCGGACGGGUGAGUAACACGUGGAUAACCUACCUAUAAGACUGGGAUAACUUCGGGAAACCGGAUCUAAUACCGGAUAAUAUAUUGAACCGCAUGGUUCAAUAGUGAAAGACGGUUUUGCUGUCACUUAUAGAUGGAUCCGCGCCGCAUUAGCUAGUUGGUAAGGUAACGGCUUACCAAGGCAACGAUGCGUAGCCGACCUGAGAGGGUGAUCGGCCACACUGGAACUGAGACACGGUCCAGACUCCUACGGGAGGCAGCAGUAGGGAAUCGUCCGCAAUGGGCGAAAGCCUGACGGAGCAACGCCGCGUGAGUGAUGAAGGUCUUCGGAUCGUAAAACUCUGUUAUUAGGGAAGAACAAAUGUGUAAGUAACUAUGCACGUCUUGACGGUACCUAAUCAGAAAGCCACGGCUAACUACGUG